AAAUUGAAGAGUUUGAUCAUGGCUCAGAUUGAACGCUGGCGGCAGGCCUAACACAUGCAAGUCGAACGGUAGCACAGAGAGCUUGCUCUCGGGUGACGAGUGGCGGACGGGUGAGUAAUGUCUGGGAAACUGCCCGAUGGAGGGGGAUAACUACU
rnacentral:rRNA from 1 species